rnacentral:rRNA from 1 species
AUACAUAGGGGGCAAGCGUUAUCCGGAAUUAUUGGGCGUAAAGGGUGCGUAGGCGGUCUAUUAAGUUUAAGGUAUAAGUGCAAGGCUCAACCUUGUGAGGCUUUAGAAACUGGUAGGCUAGAGAUAGAUAGAGGCAAGUGGAAUUCCAUGUGUAGCGGUAAAAUGCGUAAAUAUAUGGAGGAACACCAGUGGCGAAGGCGGCUUGCUGGGUCUAUACUGACGCUGAGGCACGAAAGCGUGGGGAGCAAACAGGAUCAGAUACCCUGGUAGUCCACGCCGUAAACGAUGAGUACUAAGUGUUGGGGGAACCCAGUGCUGUAGUUAACAUAUUAAGUACUCCGCCUGAGUAGUACGUACGCAAGUAUGAAACUCAAAUGAAUUGACGGGG